rnacentral:rRNA from 1 species
AUGCUCUUAUCCAAGCUCCCGGCCCCAGCACCGAAUAUUCUGGCCAAGCCCGGCCGCGUCCUCGCAUACCGCGGCAGCGGGCAGCGAGACCCGUCCAAGCUCGCGUCCUCGACCACGGACGGCGGCGACGAAGACCCCUUCCAAAUCCGCUUCCCGCACGCGAUUCUUGCAGGCCGUUGGGAACUUCAACCCCAACAUCCUCGGCUCCCCUCCCUCGAUGACGCCAAAGAACGUGUCUCAAGCAGCGCCCGGCGUCUCCCCCAUUAUCAGCUCUUCCCGAAACCUCUCCCCAAGUCACAGGAGCCGUCCAAUAUCGUGCUUCUUAUUGGAAAAGAGUCCCUGAUUUCAUACAUGCCAACAAGAAAGAAGACUAACAGUGGGUUGUUAAGGACACCCAUAAAGAAAGAAAGAAGACUUGUGCUAUCAGAAACCAAUCGAAAAGGAGAAGGCAUAAAUGCAGUGGAUGGACUUGACAUUAAGCUGCUUUGUUAG